CCUACGGGAGGCAGCAGUGGGGAAUAUUGGGCAAUGGAGGCAACUCUGACCCAGCAAUGCCGCGUGAAUGAAGAAGGUCUUCGGAUUGUAAAGUUCUUUAAUCAGGGACGAAGGAAAUGACGGUACCUGAGGAAUAAGCCACGGCAAACUAUGUGCCAGCAGCCGCGGUAAUACAUAGGUGGCAAGCGUUGUCCGGAAUGACUGGGCGUAAAGGGAGCGUAGGCGGUCUGUUAAGUUGGAAGUGAAAUCCCGGGGCUCAACCCCGGAACUGCUUUCAAGACUGACGGACUUGAGUGCAGGAGGGGCAACCGGAAUUCCUAGUGUAGCGGUGGAAUGCGUAGAUAUUAGGAGGAACACCAGUGGCGAAGGCGGGUUGCUAGACUGUAACUGACACUGAGGCACGAAAGCGUGGGGAGCAAACAGGAUUAGAUACCCCUGUAGUC
rnacentral:rRNA from 1 species